rnacentral:lncRNA from 1 species
GGGAUGAGAAGGAGCAUCUUCGAUGACAUGAGGGAGAUCAAAGUUGAUGCCUUUAAGAUUAGGGUACUUAGAGACAAUCAUUUUGAGAGUAGCACCAAUGCCACCCCCGACAUCAACCAAGGAGACCAAACCCUCAAAACCAUUAUAGGUCUCAAGAAUCUUCUUCAUGGUGAUGGUGGAAUGGUUAGACAUUCCAUUGUUGAAAACCUUGUUGAAUCUAAGGUCAGUCCCAUGGUACUCAAACGCGCUCAUGCCAUAAGCUUUAUUGAAUGGAAUCCCACCAUCAAGAAUUGCAUCCUUCAAAUAGUACCUGCAACAAAACUCUUUGGCAUGAGUUUAACAAAACAAACAAACAAUCUCUCCUUUAGCUUAACUAACCCAUCAGCAUUUUUCUUAAAAGAUCAAUUAAGUCUUUAUCACUAAUUAUAAAUCUGUUCUGAAAUUGUAUGACACAAUUUGUAUUUAUAUUAUAACUUAUUGAAAACUAUCAAAUAUAUAUUAUAUUGUUGAGACAUAGUGUUUUCUAAUCCCCUAUAUACAGUAGAAUCUCUAUAAAUUAAUACUCGAUAAAUUAAUAAUCUCUAUAAAUUAAUAAAUUUUCUCGGUCUCAACUUGAGUCUAUUCAAAAUUUGACACAAAUCGAUAAAAUAAUAAGAUAAUAAUUUUUUUUAGAAAAAUUUAUGCAAAUAUAUGAUCCCAUUAAAAUCAUAAAAUAAUAAUUUAUAUGUAUGCAUAUUAUAUAUAAAUAAGUACAUAUUAUUAUAAUGUUUUUUAUAAUCACAAUGGAAUUAUCUUUAUAUUUUCUUAACACUUAAUAUUUUUGAUGAGAUUUAGUAAUAUUAUAUUUAAAACCACAUUUAAGUUCUAUGAAAUAUAUAUUAUAUAUACACCAAAUAAUAUAAUAUAAUUAAUAUAAAUGUCAAUUUCAGAAAAUGACGAUUAAUGUCUAUACACUAAAAUCAAAUAUUUUUCUUAUCUUAGAAUAAAUAUAUCUUAAAAUAAGAAAUCUAAAUAAUGAAAUUUUUUAAUAAAUUAAUAUCUCUAUAAAUUAAUAAAAUUUCAAAGUCCCAAUAUUAUUAUAUACACCAAAUAAUAUAAUAAAAUUAAUAAAAAUGUCAAAUUUCAGAAAAUAACGAUUAAUAUCUAUGCACUAAAAUCAAAUAUUUUUGUUAUCUUAGAAUAAAUAUAUCUUAAAAUACGAAAUUUAAAUAAUGAAACUUUUGUAAAUUAAUAUCUCUAUAAAUUAAUAAAAUUUCAAAAGUCCCAACAUUAUUAAUUAUAGUGGUUCUACUGUAUAUGAUUUGAGGAUCAUUUAAAAAGAUGUAACCUGUUAUAAAUUAUGGAGUGGAUUGCCAUUAACCAACACAAGAGGAGAAAGCCCGUCGGCCACAUCAAGCCCAACCGUGGCCGCAAGGAGGAGAGAGAGUCGGCCACAGCCUUAGCUGACUUAGGAUAUAAAUAGUUUCAUUUUCCUAUGUUUUAGUAGUUUUCCUAUUUCCUCUUUGGAUAAGGAUAUGUACACUUUCCUUUUAUCUUUAUCUUGUAAUCCUUAUGUAAACGAACCCCCUUGAUCAUUAAUAAGAACACAGAAGAAUUCAGUCUCUAAACUCUCUAUUUACAACACGUUAUCAGCACGGUAGACUCCAAAACCCUGAGACAAAACCUAACCUAAAAUUCAUCACACAUAAACCCUAAAUCAGGCGCAACUUAAAAUCGAUCUAUCUCUCUAACCCUGAGGAACCAGACAACAAGCCACAUAUCAAUUUGAAGCUCUGGACGAGACAAAUCCAUCAGCGCAAACCGUUCGUCGAUCCGAUCUCAGACGCGCCCUCACUCGCAGAAACAAUACGCGGCGCCGUCUUGGUCUUUUGGAACCCUAAUCCCGAAAAAUCCUAAAUUGUUCUUGCUUGCGUUCCGGCUUGCAAACUCCGAUCAAGCUCAACUCCGAUCAAGCUCAGCUCCAGACGUUCCCUGUCCGUGAUCAACGUCCUCAGCCUCAGCACAGCUUGCGUCCAGCUCAGACCAAAUCCCCGACCAAACACAACCGUCUGCGAGAAGAUACAAGCUCGCGAUAGCCCUCGGCAACGCGACCCGAUAGGAGCCGUCUCACGCCCGUUCGUCUUAGCUCGUCUCUGAUCUUUGGAGGUCCGGUUUCUACAAUCUGCAAAACAAGGGUAAUCCUAAAUUCUAAGAACAUGAAUCGAACCUGGUUGUUUUGUAAAGAUUGAAACCCUAAAAUCAGAACUCUAAAGAUGAAAGCCAUAUGAAAAAUAGAUCAAAUCCUAAAGAGUAAAUCGGAGCUCGAAUAAGUCUGAUCUCCUAAACCAUAAUUCGAGAUUGAUCCAUUGAUCAAUUAAAAUCAAAGUCUUAAUGAUUUUAAAUCUCAAAUCAAAUUCCCUUGAUCAAAGAUCAAAGUUUCGAAAACCCUAAAACCCUAAAUUGGAAAAUCGGUUUUAAUUGUUUGAUUUGAAACUUGAUUGUUUUACUUGAUCACCUAGAAAGAUUGCUAGGAUUGUUUAAACUCGAAUCUGAAUUGCUUGACUUGUUUAAACUAAAAAACUUGAUAAGCCCUUGAUUAUAUCAUCUCGUGGCCGUGUGGCCUUAUUGCCUUCAUACUCGAACUUGAUCACUACUGAUUGAUUGCAAUUGAACUUAGAUCUAAUUCCAGGGAUGAUGAAUUGAACUAAAAUAGCCGUGUGGCUCAUCUUGGCCGUAAGGCAUUGCUUGAAUGUUUAAAUGUUUAAAAACACUUAAUCUUGAUUUAUAUUCCUAAAGGCUUUGAAACCUUAAUCUUAAAAUCGAAUCCUACUAAUGUUUAAACCGAAACCCUAGAAUUGAUUAAGAUUAUUUGCAUACAUAUGAAUCUGAAUAUGGAUUGCAUUCAUACUGUUUAAAAGGAAUCGACCAGCAUCUAGUUUAUAAAAUCUUGAAACCGUUUGCAUUAAGUAGAACUACAUGGCCGUGUGGCUUGAUGAUUGUUUCGCACCAUGGUCGAUUAGAUUGCUUGAUUUUCAUAAAUGCGUAAGACAUGUUUGUGGCCGAGCUUGUUGAUUAUCUUGCGGCCACAUGAUCACAUUGUGAGACUUAAUUUUGAAUGAUGAUGUGAUUCAGAUGUCGAAAAUCUCAAACAGAGACUAUGCAGCCCUUAAUCUCUCCGGAGAUAACUACUUGCAGUGGGCGCUAGAUACAAAGAUCAGUCUAAGGUCAAAGGGACUUGGUGAUACUAUCAUCAAGGGCAACAAUGAGACCGAUAAGAAUCGGUACAUGGCUAUAAGUAUUAUACGCCAUCACCUCAUUGAAGGUCUAAAACAUCAGUACAUCACGAUGGAAAAUCCACUAGAACUUUGGAAUGUUUUACAUCAUAGAUAUGAUCAGCAGAAAACGGUGUUACUUCCAAAGGCUAGAAACGACUGGAAGAAUCUUAGAUUCUUGGAUUAUAAGUCGGUGGAUGAGUACAAUUCAGUCUUAUUUAAGACGGUCUCGAUGCUGAGACUUUGUGGUGAAGUAGUAACCAAAGAAGAGUUACUUGAGAAGACUUACUCUACAUUCCAUUCAUCGAAUGUGAUACUGCAACAGCAGUACAGAAUGAAAGGCUUCGCCACAUAUACUGAUCUGAUCUCGUGCCUGCUUCUGGCCGAAGCAAACAAUGAGCUCCUGAUGAAGAACAGUGAAGCUAGACCUGUUGGAACAGCACCAUUACCGGAAGGUAAUGAGGUUGAAAAGAAAGAACCCAACGAGUGCAAUUACGUCCAAAACAAUAAGAGAUCACACGGCAAUGGCCGUGGUGGUUACAAGGGGCGUGGCAGUGACAAUUACUCGAACAGCCGAGACAACUACUCGACCGGCCGGAAAGGAAACCACAAUAACCAUGGUCGUGGUUCCAAUUAUGGCCGUGGCCGAGUUAGUUAUGGCCCUGGUCGAGGCGGCAUAUCCAAACCGUCUUACUCGACCAAAUCCGUUUGUCACAGAUGUGGAAUGGGAAACCAUUGGGCCAAGAACUGUAGAACCCCUAAGCACUUAUGUGAGCUCUACCAAGAAAGUCUAAGUUAGUAUUAUUUCGGAUCCGAACCUUCAUGAAAAUAGCAUCUCCUUUGGGAACACUUACAAACAUAUCUCCUCCAACAUGCUCAACACCUACAAAAUUUGUUUAGAAUCCAAUCUUCAUCAAAUUUAAACACAAAAACCAGGAUUUUGCAACAUGCCGAGAAUAUGUUAAUAUUAAAAAAAAGAAGUUAAUAUUACCGGGAUGAGAAGGAGCAUCUUCGAUGACAUGAGGGAGAUCAAAGUUGAUGCCUUUAAGAUUAGGGUACUUAGAGACAAUCAUUUUGAGAGUAGCACCAAUGCCACCCCCGACAUCAACCAAGGAGACCAAACCCUCAAAACCAUUAUAGGUCUCAAGAAUCUUCUUCAUGGUGAUGGUGGAAUGGUUAGACAUUCCAUUGUUGAAAACCUUGUUGAAUCUAAGGUCAGUCCCAUGGUACUCAAACGCGCUCAUGCCAUAAGCUUUAUUGAAUGGAAUCCCACCAUCAAGAAUUGCAUCCUUCAAAUAGUACCUGCAACAAAAC